rnacentral:rRNA from 1 species
UACGGAGGGUGCAAGCGUUAUCCGGAUUCACUGGGUUUAAAGGGUGCGUAGGCGGGCAGGUAAGUCAGUGGUGAAAUCUCCGAGCUUAACUCGGAAACUGCCAUUGAUACUAUUUGUCUUGAAUAUUGUGGAGGUAAGCGGAAUAUGUCAUGUAGCGGUGAAAUGCUUAGAUAUGACAUAGAACACCAAUUGCGAUGGCAGCUUACUACACAAUGAUUGACGCUGAGGCACGAAAGCGUGGGGAUCAAACAGG